CGCCCAGGACCGUGAGGUCAGGCCCGGGGUCAAGGGGCCGGGCCUCCAAAGCCCACUCCCCUGCUCGGCGCGGGAGGAAAGUGUCGCCCACGACCGGCGGCUCCCGGGACGCCCGGGGCGGGGCCGCACCAGAGGGACGGAGCGGGAGGCCUGUGCCCAGUGCCCGCUGUGAGGAAAAGUACAGUGGUGCAUAUUAAUUAUGUCAACAGGUGUGCCCAGGCCUCUUGAGCUGAAGUGAUGGUUCCUUAAGGCUACAGAAGUAGUAGGUUUCUUCCUACCCUCUGUGGAAAGAUUUCCUGGCUUACUGAUGAGUACUGAGCGCCAGUCCUUGCAAGACUCAGACACCAGCUUUUAAAAGGCCUACUUCAUUUCCUACAAGAAUAGAACAAGAAGAUGUGAGCUCCUAAAGAACCAGAUAUCUUUGCACACCUGCAGGACCUAGAACAGUGCCUGCCAUGCCGUGAGUCUUCCAUGCAUCUUUGUAGAAUAAAAAUGUGGAGAAUGUAAAUCCAGUUGCUUUCUACUUUGGUUUAAAUGUCUCCCAAAGGCCCACAUGUUAAAGGCUUGGUCCUAAAAAUCUUACAUGAAUUGUAUGAAGAGGGUAGGAAGUUAAUCUAAUUUCAGUGUUUAGAGAUGAGGUAUUUGAGAAGUGAUUAGAUUGCACUGGAUUUUGGGGUGAAGCCCUAGUGAUUAAAUCAUUAUGGCUUCCUAAGUAGAGACAUAGACAGGCACCCCUUGUCCUUUCCCACCUGUGCCAUCUCAGGCCUCUGCCAACAAGAAAGCCAUCACCAGAUGCUGAAAUAAUGGGGCCAAAUGAUAUUGGACAGUGAGCCUCCAAAACCAUGAGUCAAAUUACCUCCUUUAGCUUGUCUCAAGUAUUUUUUUGUAAUGAGAAAAAGCAGACUAGCACACACUGUCUUCUUGAAGGCUGUUUCAGGGAGGUAGCCACUUCAUCAGACUGAUUGGCUUUUACCAGACAACCCACGGUGAACGGCUAAUCUUCCUCUUGCUGAGUAGAAACAGGUAGUCAACUGCAGGGCCCCAGCGGACGCUCUAGAUUGGGGACAAGAAGCUUACGAUGAAGCUAACAAACCCAGAAAUACAGGCUCAAACCCACGCAAGUUCAUGUCUUGCUCACAUAACAUCCAAAAAAGGUCUUCUCUCCUGGCUCUGCCAUCUUUUUCACUGACUUUAAGGUGCUCAUCUCCACCUUAAAAGUAGAAAGUAAGGCCAGCGCUGCGGCUCACUAGGCUAAUCCUCCACCUGCGGCACCAGUACUCCAGGUUCUAGUCCCGGUUGGGGCGC